rnacentral:tRNA from 1 species
GCGAGCGUCGUAUAGUGGCUAUUAUACGUCCUUGCCAAGGAUGAGACGCGAGUUCGAUUCUCGUCGCUCGCUCCC